CCUGGUGUAAGAGGUUCAACGCUGUAUAUGGCUGACAUGGUGUAGGAAUGUUUUUGUUGUUUUUUGUGAGGAGAAGAGGGUAGAAAUGUUUUUGUUGUUUUUGUUUUAUUGUGAUCGGGCCAUAUGAAAUAGUUGCCUACGUACUCCUAUUGAAGAGGAGAUCAGGUCGACGUAGUUCGCCACUCAGGGCGAGAAGAAAAGCGCAAUCCCAUGUGCAGGUCAGAGUCGGGGAGGCGAAAGUUUAAUCCCUGGUUGAGGAAAAACUGCAGGUAUGAGAAGUUUGAUCCCAGGUAUGGGUAGCCAAACUACGAACGCAAGAGGUUCAAUCCGCGGUGGGAUGACCUAAGUUGUAUGAGCACAAAGGAGAAAGCCAGGCUGCUGGCUUGAAGAGUACGUUUCCCUGACGGGCAAAGUGUAGAAAAGUUGUAUAUGGUAAAGGGUUAAAGAACUGGAAUGACUGGUGACCUGAUGACGAUGCACCAGGGUGCUUACUGGUUACUUUAGACAUAAUACCAUUUCACGGUGUCUGAGUUGAUGAGUUGCGAAAAUUCAUCGCCG
rnacentral:lncRNA from 1 species